UCCUCUCUUCAGAAACCUACUGUCUCUUUGUCCUCAUUUUUCUUGGCUUUAGACUCCAGCUCAAGCCCUGCUUCCUCCAGGAAGAGUUCCAGGAAGACUACCCUCAUAAAAUUCAAAUGGUGUCCUCUUAGAAAAAUGUUCUCUGCUGAUGGUAGAUCUCAUCAUCUGGAAUUCUAUCGACUUGUCUUCUAGACUGUAAGAAUGGGAUGAAGAUAAGUGCUUACCUGACAGGGCCAAUGUGAGGACUGGGUGUGAUCCUGAGCGUUGUUGACACGGCCUGCAUACGAUCACAGCAUAAUGUUGACACUUACUCAUCUCAGACUUGAGAAGAACAAACUUUUGCUUCACUUUGGAGGACUCAUUGGUCAACUGAGUGUCCGUGAGCUGGGAGGAAAAAGCACUGUCCAAGCGUAAGCACAGGGGCCAGGAAGAAAGAUCUCUGGAAACAAAUCAGAGAAGGAAUUAAGCCAAAACCACCCUGUGCACCUACUGAGAAACCUGAAUUCGGCUUCCAGAAUGAAGAUGAAAUGUGACCAGCCACUCCCACUGCCCUUCCUGCCUCACCAUGAUGAGCUGCAUCCUCAAACUGGGAGACACAAUAAGCCCUUUUAUCCUUAAGUUGCUUUCACCGGGUAUUUUGUCAUGGCAAGGAGAAAAGUAAGGAAGAUAUCAAGUUAAUUCAUUGAACGUCUAAUAAACAUGGACUUUCUAAU